UAGCACCCCUAGGCAAGUAUUUCUCAAGCAUCCAGGACGACCUGUGUUGCUGCAUAGCAUACCUCCACUAAGAGGAUUUUGUUCGAGGGCCCUUUUGGCAGGGCUUAUUACUUGAAAGAGAGGUUCGUCCAUCAUACUCGAGGGAAAGCCAAUCUGAUGUUCCAUAUCCCUCGCUUCAAGCAUGAGGAUAGCUGAUGAUCUCCACGAAGGGUCCCUGAUUGAUUACCUUAUGUAGAGAGAGGAUGGUGAUUGGUACCACAGGGCUAGUGACUUCAUUGCCUUCUUACAGACUCAGAUUAUGGCCCCUCUUACUAGGGGUGUGGUCUGUGCACUUCAUAAGGCUGCUGCUGCUGCCGCUAAAGGUGUUCCUGCUGCUGCUCCCGUUCCGGAGCUUCUUGAGAUACCGACAGAGGUGGUAUAUAUGCGACCUGACAGGGUGAUCGAGAAGAUCCCCCUUGAGCCCAUUGAGGAGAGAGAUUGCAGGUUAGUGGUUGCUCCCGGCGUCGAGUGUCUGGAGGGUAUGUUGAUGACCUCCUUCAAACGGUUGACCGACUGCUUCUCAUGGUACGGAGGAGACAAAUUGCUCUAGUCACUCACGGGAUCGAGCUUGAGCUGGAGCUAGCUGCACCUGUAGGACCUUCUCCAGCUGGAAAAAGAAGAGCGAGACGGGGCCCGAUGAGAGGUAGAUGAUGGGUUGGUUGUGGGAGAGGUAGAGUGAGACAACACUCACCUUCUUUUGAGGUUACUUUCGAUGAGUACACAACCUCUGAAGAAUAGGGGAAUGAUGCCGACAUCCAAUCCAACAGCGCUAGUGAUGACAGUGACGCAUUUUCCCUACGACCGAGGAUGAAGAGGGCCAGGGUAGGUUGAUUUUUACAUUUCUUUUCUUUUGCUUUGUAGUUAGGACCUAUGUAGCUUCAAAUAAACCUGUAUGUUUUGUUUUUUGAAGACUUUUCUUUUGCUUUUGGUUUUGUAAAACAGUGAUCGGGGUUGGACCCACUAGUUUAUGAAAAAGAAGUUGU